UACGUAGGUGGCAAGCGUUGUCCGGAUUUAUUGGGUUUAAAGGGUGCGUAGGCGGCUUUGUAAGUCAGUGGUGAAAUAUGGCAGCUCAACUGUCAAGGUGCCAUUGAUACUGCGGAGCUUGAGUACAGAUGAGGUAGGCGGAAUUGACGGUGUAGCGGUGAAAUUCGUAGAUAUCGGGAGGAACACCUGUGGCGAAAGCGGCGCACUGGACCAUAACUGACGCUGAGGCGCGAAAGCUAGGGGAGCAAACAGG
rnacentral:rRNA from 1 species